GGGGAAACUUACCAGGUCC
rnacentral:misc_RNA from 1 species